AAGAUUAUGAAGAUAGUGAAUAAUUAUAUUUGUGUAAAUAAAUAUUUAAUUUUUAUUUUUAUUUUUAUUUUUGUGAAUGAAGUUAGAAAAUAAUGGUAUUAUAAAAUUGUAUAAUUUUUUUUGCAGGAUGAGAGGGAUUAGUCGGAGAGGAAGCUAUAGGCUGAUAGAGGAAGGGGAAUAGGGUCUUCUAGGCCAGUCCUUCAUACAGAGGGUGAUGGCA
rnacentral:lncRNA from 1 species